ACUCAAAUGAAUUGACGGGGGCCCGCACAAGCGGUGGAGUAUGUGGUUUAAUUCGAUGCAACGCGAAGAACCUUACCAGGGCUUGACAUCCGAGGAAUCCUGCUGAAAGGUGGGAGUGCCCUUCGGGGAGCCUCGAGACAGGUGGUGCAUGGCUGUCGUCAGCUCGUGUCGUGAGAUGUUGGAUUAAGUUCCGCAACGAGCGCAACCCUCGUCGCCUGUUGCCAGCACGUAAUGGUGGGCACUCAGUCGAGACUGCUGCAGCAAUGUGGAGGAAGGUGGGGAUGACGUCAAGUCAGCAUGCCCCGUACGCCCUGGGCUACACACAUACUACAAUGCCACGUGCAGACCGUUGCCAAGCCGUGAGGUGGAGCUAAUCGGAGAAGACGUGGCUCAGUGCGGAUUGUAGGCUGCAACUCGCCUACAUGAAGUCGGAAUCGCUAGUAACCGUCGGUCAGCAUUACGACGGUGAAUACGUUCCCGGGCCUUGUACACACCGCCCGU
rnacentral:rRNA from 1 species